rnacentral:misc_RNA from 1 species
UCUCCGUUGGUGAACCAGCGGAGGGAUCAUUACAGAGUUGCAAAACUCCCAAACCAUUGUGAACGUUACCUAUCCCGUUGCUUCGGCGGGCGGCCCGGGCCCCGCGCCCGGCGCCCCCCGGCCCCCCGUGGGCGCCCGCCGGAGGUAAACCAAACCCUUGAAUUGCAUGGCCUCUCUGAGUCUUCUGUACUGAAUAAGUCGAAACUUUCAACAACGGAUCUCUUGGUUCUG